rnacentral:Y_RNA from 1 species
GACUGGUCGGAGUGCAGUGGUAUUUACAACUAAUUGAUCACAAUCGUUACAGAUUACUUUGUUCCUUUUCCAUUCCUACUGCUUCAACUUGACUAGCCUUUA